rnacentral:rRNA from 1 species
UACGGAGGAUCCGAGCGUUAUCCGGAAUUAUUGGGUUUAAAGGGUCCGUAGGCGGGCCGUUAAGUCAGGGGUGAAAGUCUGCGGCUCAACCGUAGGACUGCCCUUGAUACUGGCGGCCUUGAGUUAUGGUGAAGUGGCUAGAAUAUGUGGUGUAGCGGUGAAAUGCAUAGAGAUCACAUGGAAUACCGAUUGCGAAGGCAGGCCACUAACCAUAUACUGACGCUGAUGGACGAAAGCGUGGGGAGCGAACAGG